rfam:Gossypium hirsutum cultivar TM-1 unplaced genomic scaffold scaffold445.1, whole genome shotgun sequence
UAUUAAAAAUUUUAUUCAUUUCUAUUAUUAAAAGCUGGUGUAGCUGGCAAAAUAAACUUGUACUCCAUGUUGACAUAUAUGAACUAAUUUUUAACAGUAAAAGUGGAUGAAUUUUUAAUA